ACUAGCUGGUGCCAUGGAAGGCACGUGGACUUUGGAGUGGAGGCCCGAGGCUUGAACACUGGCUCUGCCCCUCCCUCUGCCCUGGGACACUUCUGAAUCUCCUCUUCCUCUUCCUCUGCCAGAGAAGAGAUAUAAUCACCGGCUUGAGAGGCCAUGAGGAUGAGCCGAAUAAGAUUGAUGAACCUGUCAGGCUGCUGGCCUGGGCGCUGAGCCCGCUCCCGCCUGAAUUCUCCCGACAGCUGCCCUGCUUCUCCACUUGGACUUGCCGGGGCUCCCAUUGGAACCAAGAAAAGCCUCUGCUCUGCUCCAGUCACACACAAAAAAAUAGCAAGAAUGAUGCAAUAUGUGUCUCUCAUGGCCACCAGCCACGGAGAAGGUCCAGGCGUCCAGAUCCCUACUCCAAAUUCACGCCAGCAUUGCAAAUCAAUGCCCUCUUGUUCCCAUGAAUCCUGGGUAACUCCCACCACUCUACCCGGCAGCAGCUCUGUCACCCCCUUAUCUCGUGACAAAGGCCACCAACCUAGCCACUGAGGCACAAAAUUGGCCGGGUGUAGAGAAAGAGUUUCUAAGUACCUAAUCCCUGUAACCUGACCUUUAAUUCUAAUAACAGUGACAUUUAUUAAAGAUUAUGUGCCUGGCACUGUU